UACGUAGGGUGCAAGCGUUGUCCGGAAUUAUUGGGCGUAAAGAGCUCGUAGGCGGCUUGUCGCGUCGACUGUGAAAUCCCGCGGCUCAACUGCGGGUCUGCAGUCGAUACGGGCAGGCUAGAGUUCGGUAGGGGAGACUGGAAUUCCUGGUGUAGCGGUGAAAUGUGCAGAUAUCAGGAGGAACACCGAUGGCGAAGGCAGAUCUCUGGGCCGUAACUGACGCUGAGGAGCGAAAGCGUGGGGAGCGAACAGG
rnacentral:rRNA from 1 species